GAUGGAGAAGGACCCCGAGCCGAGGGCGAAGACACCCAAAACAGCCAAGCAGUCCAAAAAAGACUCUAACAAUGAGUGGAAAACUACAUUCUCAUCAAGCAAGACCUCUUUCACCAAAGGCAGGGUUUCGUUCCUGAGGACAAAGUUGUUUAUUUCCUGGGGAAAAUCCUCAUUUUCCUGGAGCAAAACCACUGUAGCUUUGGGCAGCAACAGCAUAACGGUGGCUGUAACUUCUGUGACGCGGGGGGAGACCACAAGCUCUCUGAUGACUCUUACCUUUACCUAUGGGACCAAAUCUGUGUCUGUUGUCAAGACCACCCUUACAAGGGGAAAAGAAAAGCACAGCAACGUCUACUGGGAUUUUCACACUUGAAUCCUGCACACACAUAAAAGCUAAUGGAUGUGUCUUUGUGGUCAGUUUUAGAAGUCUUGGCCUAACCAGCAGGAUCAGAUGACACUACCGAACCCAUCGCUGGCAGCAGCUGCACCAAAAGAGACACUCUUUCCUCCACUGGACUGGCACAAGAAGUCAACAUUUGUUUUCUUGUAGUUUGGGUCAAUUCCAAAAAGAAAAGCAGGUCCCUUUUCUCACAAUUCCCCUCUGUGACGAAGCGUCAGAGCAAAGUGUUUUAUGGUCAGCGGAGGUGCGGACGGAUCUGGGCGUAAGAUGGACAGUCAGGGUGUUUGAUCGAGAGAUAAUAAAUGAGUAAAUCGGAUCUAUUCACAGGAGAGGAGCUUAAGUGAGAGCAAGGGGAUCGGCUGAUGAGUUCUCCCAAAACGUACUGAAACCUCUGCUGUAAUUAUAGAUACUUGACAGAGUUACAUUAGUUCAGAAAUCAUGAAAAAUGCAAAAGAAAGGUUGCGCAAAUGUAAAAAAAGCACAUCCAAAUUUGAAUAUUUGACAGAAAAAGGGGGGAUAAUGCACAAGAAUAAGCAAAGUUGCACAUUCCAUCCCAGUAAAUGUGGAUUUUUGUGUUUACAACCGUUUUUAUCCUUUUCUGUCAAACGCCUCAGAGGAUUAGCUCAUGUCUUUACCUUCCUGUGCCUAUUGGAACUCCACCAAUCACCUUUCUCACUCAUCUUAUGUAUUCCUCAGGUCCUCCGUGUCCACAACAACACUCAUCCUGCAGUCACCGACCACCUUGGACAUCUUAGCCAGAAUAAAAGCAGCAAACCGGUCAAUUUUACACCAAACAGAACAGGAUUUUCGGACUGUUAUUACUGCUUAUUGAAAACAUUUGGUCAUGUUAGGCUCCAAAAUUUAACUCUCUGCAGGAAGCUUCAGCUGAGUUAAAGUAAAAAAAAACCUGUUGCCACUGGCAACUGGACAUGCUUCACCACAUUUGUCCUCCAAUAUCAAUGCUGCCACUAGAGAUUCAUGCCACGAAAAACACUUCUGUUAAACAUCUCUUCAAUAUUCACAGUGUUUGUCUUGUUUGUUACGUUUUGCCUAGAUCAGAAACUGUUCCCUGACAUUUUGCAAAUAUAUGCUCUAGUUUCAAGGUUCCCCUUCACGACACACAGGUGUCCUCUGGUAAAAAUGUCUUUAAUUAAAGUAGGUAUAGCUCAGAUCAUCUAUGUAUGAUUCUGACAAGAAGCUUAGAAAAAAAACUAUUUCUUCCGAAAGCAGAACUGAAACCAUAUUCUGUUUUUCCCACCAACACAAAUUAAGAAUUGAAAGAAGUUAAUCUGUGUUGCUGACUAUAUGUUAAAAAUAUGUUUUACCACUGAGGGAAUAGACUUUUUACAUUUAUACACAUAUAUCAGGAUACAAUAACAGCUUGGCACGCCGCACUAAUGAAAAGCACUAACAUCAUUUAGCUCAUGUAGCUAUCCAGGUAUCUGUGUCUGGAUUGUGGAUAAUUUAUCAGAAGAUCGCCCAGGCUGCUGUCAUGCCCAGCCAAAGGGUCUGCUGCUGAUUCAGCAUCUCCCCUCAUUAAGGCUGCACCAUCGCAUAACAACUGCUCACAUCACCUCAGAGCGUCUGGUGUUGUAAAAAAGGUCAGAAAUAUGAGGAAAGAGAAGAUCAGACACCUGUAAAGACACCUGGAGAAAAAUCUCCAUUUAAGUGAACUUAAUCGUUAAAAGAAAUGAGGGAAAUAAAGAAUUUGGAGUUAGCGUUACUGACACAAAGCAUUGUGGGUAUUAUUUCUGUUUUGUCUUGUAUUUGUCAUUAAAAUGCUCAUAUGAUUAAAAGUGUCCUAGCACGGUCAGGGCAAAGGGAAAAUAAGUGUUUACGGUUCCUAGCUAAUCUUUGUGUUCAAAGUCCAGUGUGAGGUUUGUUGAUUUGUUAUUUUCUUUGCAGGCAUCCUCUGCUUUGUGUUGUGUGUUGUGCCUCAGUGUAUCUCACUUUAAUGCAAAAACGACCAUAAAAAGAAUAAAAAUGCUUGACUGCGUGUCUA